UACGGAGGAUCCGAGCGUUAUCCGGAUUCAUUGGGUUUAAAGGGUGCGUAGGUUGUUUUAUAAGUUAGCGGUGAAAUACCGGGGCUCAACCCCGGGGCUGCAUUGGAAACUGGCAGGCUGGAGUGCCGGAGAGGCAGGCGGAAUUCCUAGUGUAGCGGUGAAAUGCGUAGAUAUUAGGAGGAACACCAGUGGCGAAGGCGGCCUGCUGGACGGUGACUGACGCUGAGGCUCGAAAGCGUGGGGAGCAAACAGG
rnacentral:rRNA from 1 species